rnacentral:rRNA from 1 species
GACGAACCGUGCAAACGUUAUUCGGAAUCACUGGGCAUAAAGGGCGCGUAGGCGGCUUUCUAAGUCAGGGGUGAAAUCCGGCAGCUCAACUGUCGCAGUGCCUUUGAUACUGGAGAGCUCGAGGGAGGUAGGGGUCUGUGGAACUUCCGGUGGAGCGGUGAAAUGCGUUGAUAUCGGAAGGAACACCAGUGGCGAAGGCGGCUCACUGGUCCGGUACUGACGCUGAGGUGCGAAAGCGUGGGGAGCAAACAGG